GAAAGUGAUGUUCCAAUAUGGAUGCUGGCCAAAUAAUGUUUUAUGUUGUUUUGUUCUAUCUGCCCAGUAUACAAUGUGUUAAAUUGGGAGUUUGCAGCAAAGAAAAAAGGUAACAUAUACAUUGAUUUGAAUUCCAAACUUCACCUUCCCCUAUUGGUGCAGUGAAUGUGUAUUAUUCCUUAUAAAAUAUAAUACGGGAUCGAAAUGAUAUAGGAUUAGCAUUCAUUUCUCGAAAAAAAGAUGGUUUACUAUAUAGAAGUCUAGCAAUAUAUCAAGCUUAUUAAACCUUUGAACUUUUGUAUGGCCGUAUCUGUGUUUUUAAUUGUCAAUUUUGUUUUCUGUUUGUGGUCUCAAAAUCCUAUAUUCAUACCAAAGCGUUUAAAUGUAUUUUCGUUAAUCUCCACAUUACUCUUUGGCAUGUACAUAGUUAUAUCAAAUUUCAUUUUGUUUCUCCUUCUAGAAACUUGGGUACCUUUACUCGUUUACCACAGACUAAAGUUUCAUUUAAAUCCCAAAAGUUUUGUUAUUUCUAAAUAAUGAUAUCACCCUUUCACCUCUAUUUUCUCCCAAACCUAAAAACGUCCAUAUAUAAAAAUAAGAAGAUGCAGAAUGAUUGUCAUUUAGACAGCCUUCCACAAAAGAUCAAAUGACCAAGAAUCUAACAACUAUAUGUCACUAUAUGGCUUUCAACAAUGAGCUCAACCUUUAUCGCAUAGUCAGCUCAAAUAGUUAUCAAAAGUACCAGGAUUAUAAUUUUAUACGCCAGACGUAAAAGUUAUUAAAUCUAUUUAACAUAAUUUCAAAAGGAACACAACGCUUAUAUAAAUUAUUUUUACAUUUUACAAUGCAGUUGGAUGCAAUAUUUCUUAACUUUAGAGAAUCACUUAGAGAAUUGUUAUUCAAUGAGACAACUAUCAGCCGGAGUCAAAAUGUAGUGGUAGUAAGCAAGUAGGCCACAUUAUGGCUUUCAACAAGAAAAGGCUCGAUCAUGAAAAAUUUGAAACAACUCAAAAGAGAAAACUAAUGGCCUAUUCAAAUACAACAAUUUACAAAAAAACAUAUAUCAAAGACACGAGCCAACGACAAUUUGUACUACAAGCUAUUAACUUAGAAUAGAUACAUACGUUUUGUUCAAAAUUAAAAGAUAUGAGUAUAUAUAUUUGCAGUGUUAUGGUCAGUGGACAAACCGUUAUAAGAACAUUAUACUUUUGUUGUCGUCACUAUGAAGAAAGCAGUGGAAUAUGCGAAGGUAAUAUAUGUAUAUCUACUUGUUAAAUGGAAGUUUAAUGCUAGUGAAAUGUCAAAUAAUUGGAGCCGGGAUAGACUGCAUAGAUAAAUGAGACGUUACUAUACGAAUUAAUUAUUAGAAAAUAUGUUAUUAAUCUCGAAUUUUAUAUAAUUCACUGCACGAAAUGAAUACCAAUAACAUUUACUGUUUUCGAGUUUUGCUUCUACAGUAUUAUAGAAGGAACGACAAAGACCAGCAUAUUUAACCCAAACCAAUAUCGAAUGUUGAUAUAUUUAUUUCCCAGGACGUUUAUUUAGCAAUAAACCCCAUUGACUAGUGGGAUGUAGGAAUACGCAGUCACUUCUAGUAAGAAUGUCGACGUUAUCAAAAUGGUAAAACGGAAACACACUUGCCUGCUUAGAAGCGUGUUUGACACAAAGAGAGCAACAAGUCACACUGCAAGGGACAGUUCAAGUACUGCUAAAGUAACAUCCGGCGUACCCCACUGAACAAUUUGAGGACCAUUGCUGUUUCUCCUAUACAUAAACGACAUAGGGUACGACAUAACAUCAAUGAUUCGCCUGUUCGCUGAUGAUAGCUUACUUUACCUAGCUAACGAUAUCAACAAAGGAUUCAAUAACUAAAAAGAGACAAACCAUCAACUUCAACUGCAACAUCAAUGGACAUAUCUUGUAAUCAGUUGCAUAAUACCCAUACCUAGGAGCUGAAUUUACCAACACAAUGGCAUGGGACAAACAUGCUAACGAAGUUGUCACUAAAAUAAAAAGAGCACUAGGCUUCAUUCGAAGAAAUGUUGGAUUCUGUCCUGAGGAAGUCAAGAAACAAGCCUAUAUUGCCCUUGUCCGACCUCACCUUGAAUACGCUUUAUUCAAAGCAACUACCCAAGAGAGCCUGGGACAGUUACACGACGUUUAGAAGAAUUUAACCUGAUACCACUAGAAACCAGAAGAAAAAUAGCAAUUAUAUCGCUCUUUCAUAAAGCCAUCCAUGAAAAGGUUGCUAUACGGCCUAUUCCAUUGCAUAUUCUAAAACCAAGAAGAAAUUUGAGACUCCAACAACCGAAUAUUAAAAGAUACGUACAGAUCAGGCCAAACAAAGAUAUUUAAAGUGCAGCUUUUUUCCGCAGACCAUAAGAGUCUGGAAUAAACUACCAGACGAACUAUAUAUUAGAGAUUGAGAGCAGUGAGCAAUUCAAGACAAAACUCACCAACCUUCUCUGUAGUUGCUAACCAACACAAACAAAAGGUAGAUGAUGCUUUUAUCCAGCACCUGAACAUAAAUUUUGAGCACAAUUUGGAACUUUUGUUUAUCAAAUGUUAUAUACAAAUUUUGUGUCAUGUUGGAAGACGUCAAACUAACAUUUAUACUUGAGUGAUGGGUUAAAGUACCUUUUUCGUAAAUGAAAAGCUCAAUAGUACUCCCUGCUCGUUUAAGAACCCUUCAAAUAGCUCUAAGAGGUGUCUGUGCAUGGCCCGAAAGUGCUCUCGUGGUCUUUAUCUAUUUCCUCUGCAGAGGUUACCUUAAUUACUAGUUGUUUUUGUUAAAAUGCUUUAGUUCUAGGGCGUAUAAGAGAUACAAACUCAUAAAAGUUUUAAUAGGGUUUUGAAGAUAUAUUAAACAGUGGUAAUAUGGCAAAUUUAGUGCCAAUGUUUUUUUAAGCGUCUCUAGAAAAAAAUCCAAUUGCUUUGUCUCGGAAUAAUGAAAUGAUAUAGGAAUUAGUUCAAUUUUAAAGGACAUUGGUAUUUGAAUUUCUAAAAUAAUCAAAGUAGAGUUGAAAGGAGUUAAUAAAAAGCCUUAACCGAUAAUUCCUAAGUUGCUCUUGAACAUCUUGUAAGGAAUUAAAGGUUCAAUUUAGUAGAACGUUAUGGAAUAUUCAUUUCAAAUAUGCCAACCAAAAAUGUUCAUCGCAAGUGACUUGGCACCAAAUUUUAAAUGAGUAAUUCGACGAUCAAAAGUGAAGCAGGAAUCGGUUACAAUUCCACGACUGCUAUUAGUGCGGUGACAGAAGUGUAAAAAGUCGUCUAGAUCGCGAGUUUAAUCUCCCCAAAUAACACACGGCUAAAAAUGGUCUUAACUUAAAGACAAAUAUGUCUUCUUUAGUUUUUGCCUGUCGUCAGAAUUUUCGUACGGUCACUUUUUCUAAAAGUCGUUUUAAUGACUGGUAGUAUAUUGGGAGUUUCAACCCCCUUUUUUUCAAAAUGAAAAAAUGGGUAUGUUUGCUUACAUUUAAUUGAAAUAGUUUUUCCUGAGCUAUUUUUACAUGUCAAAAAUAUGCUAUUCAGUAUUUUAUUUCUUCUAAUCUAUAAAAUUGUGAAGUUUAGACUAUUUAAAAUUGAGGUAAUUUUAAUUGCAAAUUCAGAUCAAACUUUAGUUUCUUCUUCAUAGUAGUAAUAAAAAUUAUCCCAUAAUAUUUUAAGCAUAUAGUAAUUUAAUAAAACUAAUAAUGAUAAAAAUUUCGGAACCAAAAUAUGAAAACCUUAAGAAAUCAUGGAAAAAGAAUGGAGUAAAAAUCUUCAAUUUCAACACGGAACUCAAUCACUUGCCUUCCGUCCCAUUUUGUGUAUUAGUCAAUAAUUUGCUCUCAAAUGAUAUAUGAAAUUACUACCUUUUUCGCUAUUAUAUACACAUAUUUUCAAUCAAAGUGCACUGAUAUAUGCCACAUACUUUGUUUGUAUAUGUUUAUAUUCUAUGUUUUUUCGUUAUAAACAUCAAAUAUACUUUGUCAGAAAGUCUUAUUGUAAAAUCAAAAUAAUUGACGGAUAGUUUCAGUAAAUAUUCCGUGAUUGUCAAGUCCUUUGCAACUUGCUCGAUAAGUCCAAAGAACAGACAAAGUCUUUAAUUUUACUCAGUGAAUAAAAAAUAUGCUAAAAAAACCUCGAUUGAAAUUUUGAGUCAAUUUACCAGUUUAGGGAAGUCGACUUUUGUAUCUGCAUUGCAUAAAAGAUUGGAUGAGGGGAACAUCAAGAUGUUUCAUGCGAUAGCUGUUAAUUUGAAGAACUCCGUGCAGGAAGUUUGACGACAUACAAUUAUCUGACUGUUGUCCCUCAGUUUCGGGUAUUCAGUGUAGUACACGUUCUAGAAUGCAGUCGUUCAUCUGGAGCGCCUGUAUAUUUUGUUGCAACAAAACAUUUUAGAAAGAUAAAAAAUUACUCAAGUUUGAAUCAGAUGAGCGCAUUAAAAAUGUUUUAUCCGUGUCAGAUAAAGUUAAAGUUGAAAUAGUUUCCCGUCCAUCUUUUAAACUUCAAGCACUCUGUCAUUUUGGUUGCAUUACAAAAUAUUUGCUAAAAACGAAAAUAAAAAAAAUCCAAACCCGUGGAAGCAGAUAUUUCAGAACAUGAUACUGCUUUUUACUAAUUCUAUUUUGGCUAUUGACACACGAUUUAAUGGUCAUUCCUCAUGGCACCGUUACUUGAUAAAUAUAGAUCAUUUCUUCAGGCUGAUUCUAAUUCUAAAAUAGUCUACAUGUAAAAUGCAGUCUUAACUCAUUUAUUUCUAUAGAAAUUCAGUUGUCAAACAACUUUAACAAGUUCAGGCAAAUAUAACAUAUUAUUAGUAGCAAAUUAAACUAUUUUAGAUGCCAAUAUAAGCUUUUAGUCCAUUGAAAACUGACCUCAAAAUCUCAAUGUCAACUGUAAUAGACACAAAAAACGGACAGAUAUUUAAUUCCGCUGCAAGUUUACUUAGAAAGACAUCGAAACUCUAAAGAAGACUACCCAACUUUAGAUGAAUUGUUUCUUCCUUCUUAAUUCAGUCAAUGCCUUCGUAUUUAUUGCAAUUCAUUCUAUGGUUACUCAAUGAAACUGCAUACAGCCAAGACUAUUCUCAGGAAAUGGCACCAGAGAAAUUGUGGAAAUGCUAAGCAAUUGUUGAGGCAAUCAUUUUUGUUUUACUCCUUUUCAUUUAGGAUUGGCUUUACAAAUGUACCGUGAGUUUGGUUCAAAACACCUUGUUGAAACAUUGAAUGCCAAUGGAUUUUAUGCUUCUUAAAUAAAGUGCGACGCUACAUAAUGUGUUACCAACCAUGAAAUUAAGCGAAUUCAAGAUAGUGUGUACUUCUCGUAUGAUGUUUCCCCAGCAUCUUUGCAGACAAGCAUAUGGAUGUCAUCAACACUUCUAAACCCCUUAUAGAUCUCUGUUAAAUCUUGAUGAAUUGAUAGGGAUGGUUUGAAGCUGGUUUUUUUAGGAACAAAUGUCUUCGGACUUCCUACAAUACCUUGUCUGUACUUGUAAAGAAAAACUCAAAAUAACGUGUUUUCUUUGAGCAGAACCUUUCAUGUGCAGACCUGUGGCCAUGAGUGAAAUGUGUAGAAAUAUUAAAACAUGUCAAAAUGUUAGAAUUAUUAUAAAUUAAGGAAUGUAUCUCCCUCAUGCAAAGCUCUGAUUCAUUUCACGGAUUUGGCUAAUUUUUGGAACUUUUGGAUUAUAGCUCUUUAUCUUUAAUAUAAGCUUUGGAUUUCACAUAUUUUGGCCACGAGCAUCACUGAAGAGACAUGUGUUGUCGAAAUGCGCAUCUAGUGCAGAAAUGGUACCGUUAUUGUUAUUGUAACAGUUGAUAAAAAUGAACAUGAUGGAGAUAAGGGUUGAUUUGGUAUAAAGCUGUUGCACUGGUACACACGAAUCCAGUCCCGAGGUUAGGGGAUUGUUGGCGUGCCCUUAAAAAAAGUUAAACCCCGCCAUUAUCUGUAUGUGUCAGUUUUAAGUUACGAGACGGUAAUGCAGUGUUUGUCGUUUGUUUCUAUAUACUUUAUUAGUUUCUUUAUUAUUUAUUUUGUACAUUAUCAGGCCGUAAGAUUUUUUGUUUGUUUUACAUUAUUCGUUUCGGGUAUGAAGACUUUGCAGUAUGACUUUACUUAUUGUUGAAACCCCGUACGGGGACCUAUAUUUGUUUAGGUCUCAUUGGUCUCCUUCGGAGAGUUGUCUCAUGCAAUCAUAUCACAUCUCUUUUUUUUUUUAUGGAAUAUUUUGAAGUUGUGGUAUUUGCAAGGGAAAAGGGGGGAUAAAGUUACACAACCUAUAAUGUAAAAGAUAUUAACCAGAGUUAAAUACACAACAAAAGAUAAUACUAUGGUAGCAGUAAUAAUUGUGAAACAAAAACAAAAAGCAACGAGUAGUCUAUAAAAAACCUGAAGUAUCCGCAAAUUCAAUUUGAGGUCAUAUUUGACUGUAGCGUUCUAUGGCUUUGGUUUGUACCUCACCCAAUUGAUAGUUUAAAAAUUAUUUUAAAUAUUGUCCUGCAUGACACUUGAUUUUACCUGAAUUGAUAUUUUUCAUAAGGUAAGGUGCUCUUAACAUUUUAUAGGUUGAAACUUGAUUUUUGAAGUUUGUUUAUAUAACGUCGUUUUAGGAAUUUUUUUGAAAAAAAAUCCAAUGAUUAAGAUUAUGUAUAAUAACAAACAUUACUAAAGCCAAAACAGUAUCAUUUGUAUUUAGGUAGAGUUUAGAAAUAGAAAAAAAUGUCAAAUGAAACCCCCAAAUUUUCACAAAUUUUUUACAUAUGACCUUUGACCUCAAUUUAAAAAAAUGUGACCAUCAAGUCCUGACGACAGGCAUAUUAUUAAGUACACGAUUUCCUCUUUCCAAUGAUAUAUUAUGUAGGUGUGUGUUCGGUGGGGAGAUUAAAUUCCAAAAAAUCUGCCUUCAGUCACCGCACUAUAUGUGACUCCCUUUCGAUUUUUUUUGCAUAGUACGUAAUUACAGGGUAGUAUUAUAGUCUUUUUGGUUUACUAUUGUUUUGCCUUUCAGCAGUUUUCUAUCUGGUAAACUGUCCAGUUUUCUUGGACUGUAUUUUUUGGUUAUAAUCUAUUCUUGAAAUAUUACAUGUAUCCCUCUUUUUGUAUACUCUCAAUAUUUCCUCGACUAUCAUGAAAUUAAUACUUAUUCCAAUGACAUAAUACAUAUGUUAAUACAAGGACGCAUUACAAUAGCAUAAAGUAAAUUGAUAAAAUAUGUUUUUUUUUUAAAUUUUAGAAUGCGAUACAGGAUAUGAAUCUAAUGGAACAAGAUGCGAACCUUGCAAGACGGGUCAGUUUGGUAUAAAAUGUGCAGACACAUGUCAUUGCAAAACACACGAAAGGUAUGGACUUAUAUUUUGUACUACACCAAACUUUACAUGAUAAUAUAAUGUUAAUUCGAGAGGAUUAUUUCUUGUCAAUGUAAUAUGUUAAUGACGUUCAUUAAAAUUACAAAAUGGCAGACACAAUCCUCUUUCAGUUUAGAAGGCAUGUGAACGCAUUCUUUUGUUUUUGUUUCAGAUUAAAAGCUGUUUAAAUGAUUUGCUAUUCGAAAAUCAUGGAUAUAUUAUCUACCACAAAAAUACUAAGAAUUUUUUAAUUGUGCUGUGAUGAUAUUAAUCAUAAUCUGUAUUGUAACCAAGUCUUUACUAUAAUAAAAUGAAGGGAUUAAGCCAUUUACUUUUUUAUGCAGGUAAACGAAACAGUGAACCAAAACAGUGAAUUAUAGUUUUCAAGAUAUAUUAUGUUAUCGACACACUGUCUGAAAACACAGAAACGAAAUAACACUGUAUUGUUGUCAAUAUAAUUGAUGUUAUGCGACUGUUAUAUAAGUGAGAGGUUUGGCUAUCUAUAUAUCCAGAUAAAUUCAAACUAUCAUUGUCUACAUAAGGAUAUGCCCGCAACAAGUUAGGAAUAUGACCGAUGUUAUCCAUUCGUUUGAUGUGUUUAAACUUUUGAUUUUUACAUCUGAUUAUGGACUUUCGGUUUAGAAUAUUCCUCGGAGUAUUUUUGUUAUUUUACCAUUUAUCAAUAAUUGUUAUAUUUUUCUUCAUUUAUUCAGCUGUGAUCAUAUUCGGGGAUGCAUACAGUCCACAAAUCAGCUUAUAACAGGGGAACAUAUAACUCCUAUCACAGGUAAAUAAUUAGGGUGAAACAAUUUAGGCAUUUCCUUUUCAACUAUUUUAAGAGAAAUGUAUUUUGUCCUAUCAUUUUUACCGAUUUACUACUUGUAAUUUUUCUAUGAUCAUUGAGUUUAAAUUUCUAUUUUGUGACGUGCAUUGUCCAGCAAGCUGAAGAUAUGCGUAUACGUCCCUGUCUCCUAAUGAUGCAAAAUAACCGUCAUUGACUGAAGAUUCCAAACAGAUGUUCCCAAACGCUUGCUUGCUUUCUUGAAUGAUUGCUUUUGAAAAAAAUAACCCAACUUAAUAAGAUGACUAUUCCAUAUUUUCAUUAAAAAUAUUUCUAUAAUAUUAGAUAUCUACCGUUCCUAAAUUAUAUAAAAUAAAAAUGGUAAUUACAAAUACAUGUAUCAACACUUCUUUAAAAAUAAUAGAUAUUUUUUAUACAUUAAUGGUGCAACAUGUCAAGCUUUCAAAGUAGAGUAUACACAUUUGACAAAAACUACCCAUGGUCUGACAUCAACACUCAUUUUGUAGGUGCAAAGGUUGUUUUGUAAAUACUUAAUCGGUACCUCCUCCUAUACCUAGAUAUAUUUAUGAAUGUAAAAGGAAAAGCCAAACAUUAAUUUGUCUCAUCAAAACCAUUAUAUUUUUUAUGAAAUGCCUCAAAUGAAAGUAAAACAAAACCAUUCUUUAAAAUUUCAUGAUUUUUGUUUGUUAUAGAGAAGACAGCAAAGGACUCUGAAAAUGAAGGUAAAAUAUUGAAACAUGAUAAUUAGAAAACGUUGUUGUUUAUCUUCACACAUUUGAUUUUGAAUAAAAUAACAAAACUAAUAUGUACUAUUAUAAUAAGACAGCAAUGACAUUAAUGGUACAUAUAAUACUACGUUAGAAACCCAUUUCGAUAGUUAAUAUGUCUCCAGGGCUAAUCAAUUUCAAAAUAUUUGAAAUCAAAAUAAUAUUAGAACGUUUUUAAAAGAUAUAAAUCUUAGUUUGACAUCGUAGUGUGUUAUAAUUUUCGGUUUAUUUAAGUCUUAUACAGCAUUAGUAAUAUCACUCAAAUAAGGAGACCUUGGGGAUAUUAUACAUUACAGAGAAAACCUAAAAGUUUUCAAUUGUAAUAUUUCUUCACUGUAUAGUUUUGGAAAAUCUAAUAUAAAAAAAUAUUAUUUUUAGGUUUUCUAAACAAGGAGAGUGGUGUAUAUUUUGGUAGUUUCGGAUUACUGGCAUUUGUUAUAUGUAUUUUAAUGGCUUAUAUCUGUUAUAAAAAGGGUAAAAGAAAAGCAGGUGCAAAUGUGCCUAAAGAAAAUACAAACGAAUUGGCAAUGGAUAUAAAAUGUCUUGUUCAUGGGACCAAAGGUGAGAUGAUCACAAAUGAAAAUGAUUAUGACGAAAUUGACGAGAGGUACUUGUCCGAUAUCAAAUCGGCAGUAAAUCAAGAAAAAGAUAUCAAGAAAAAGGAAAAAGUUCAGCCAGGUGGAAGCAAACAUUCGAAAAAAGAAAAAAACAACAGUUCUAGCAAUCCUUACCAACUAGUUGUUUCUUCUGCAGUAGAUGUUCACGAGUACUCAUCCCCUGAGAAGGGAGACAACUCGGAGGAUAAUUACCGGGAUUCGGGGUACCUUCAUCCAUAUCAACCACUGUCACUGGAUACCAAAAUUCUUAAACACGACUAUACUGAAUGUAAAGAUUUAGAUAUUGUCGAAUCUAAAGCCACAAUAGACAAUACAGAUCUUAAACAUGACUAUACUGAAUGUGAAGAUUUACAGAGUGUUGAAGCCCUUACCAGAAACACUAAAGAAGACAAUGCAGAUAAAGAAUUCGAAGCAGUGAAAGAAGAAGACACAUCUCUUUCGGUUUAAAUAUGAAAAUGAAACCGACUUUUUUAUGAGCAAAACUUCAAACUAGAAAUACGAUAUUUUAGCAGAAUCAAUGUAUCUGAAACAACCUGUACAUAUAUUGAAAUAUUGUUUUGAAUACAAAAAACGACACAUUACAUCGCAAUUGCUUCUACUGCGGAACUGUGAUACUUAUAUAUCAAAAUCCAGAAUGAUUAUUGCUAAAAUUUAAAUUAAUUCAACGCUUGCGGGAUAAAUCAAUUAAUUCACUAAAUUUGUUACUUAUAGGAAAAAAUAGAGAACAAAGAGAUAUUUUCUUUUAAAAUUGCACCAGUGCCAUGCAAUGGAAUCAAAGAUUUUCUAUCUUUAUAAAACAUUUAAAUUUCGGUUGUUUACCGUGUUCACAAUGGUAUAAACAUACACAUUAUGAAUUCGUAAAAUUAGCUCUCAAACUGAAAAUUUCAUAGAUUUGAGGACUUUUAUUUUAGUUUAAAACCAAAACUAAAUCGAAAUGAUACGCUUUACCAAAAAUCUAAAAUCGGUUUAAAGUAAUUUUAGAAAUAUUGGUUUUCGGAUAUAAAUUGAAAUACUUCGGUUAAUGUCGAUUUUUUUUUGAAAACACGCAACAUAAAUUUUAUACCAUGCAUUAU
rnacentral:lncRNA from 1 species